GAUGAACGCUGGCGGCGUGCCUAAUACAUGCAAGUCGAGCGAACAGACGAGGAGCUUGCUCCUCUGACGUUAGCGGCGGACGGGUGAGUAACACGUGGAUAACCUACCUAUAAGACUGGGAUAACUUCGGGAAACCGGAGCUAAUACCGGAUAAUAUAUUGAACCGCAUGGUUCAAUAGUGAAAGACGGUUUUGCUGUCACUUAUAGAUGGAUCCGCGCCGCAUUAGCUAGUUGGUAAGGUAACGGCUUACCAAGGCGACGAGUCGUAGCCGACCGGAGAGGGUGAUCGGCCACCCGGGAAGGUAGACAGGGUCCAGGCUCCUACGGGACGCAGCAGUAGGGAAUCGUCCGCAAUGGUCGAAAGCCUGACGGAGCAACGCCGCGUGAGUUGUGAAGGUCUUCGGAUCGUAAAACUCUGUUAUUAGGGAAGAACAAAUGUGUAAGUAACUAUGCACGUCUUGACGGUACCUAAUCAGAAAGCCACGGCUAACUACGUG
rnacentral:rRNA from 1 species